rnacentral:rRNA from 1 species
UUAGAUACCCUAUUAUUUUGAACGAAAAAUUUAAUACCAGGCUAGUAUUAGUUAUGUUCUUGAAAAUUAAAGAAGAUGGCGGUAUUUUAGUCUAUUCAGAGGAACCUGUCCUAUAAUUGAUGGUCCACGAUUUAUUAUACUUAUUUUUUUAGUUUGCAUAUCGCCGUAGGUUGAAUAUUCUUUAAGGAAAGGAACGUUCAAGAGGUUUUUAAUGUGAAAAUAAAUCAGGUCAAGAUGUAGCUUAUAAAUAAGAAGAGAUGGGUUACAAUAAAUAAAUUUAUUAUGGAUUAGUAGAUGAAAGUUUAUUAUGAAGGUGGAUUUGAAGGUAAUUUUAUAAAAAUUUAUAAGAUGAUUCUAGCUCUAAAAUAUGUACACAUCGCCCGUCG